UCUUUAGCCCCUUACAAUUGCUUUAAAAGACAACGCCCCAGGAUGGGAACAUAGCAAGGCACCUUUUAUUGUGGUGUGUUUGGGUAUCUGAAGAGGG
rnacentral:SRP_RNA from 1 species